AGAAGUUAAAGUCAUUAAUAAAAGUGGCGGGGGGGCCGAAGGCCCCCCCCCGAUUUAGUGUAAAAGAGAUAUUGGGUUUAGACAAUGAAGAAGUAGGCUUGGAGCCAGCCACCUUUGAGAGAUGACGUAGCAGUUCACUCAAGAAAUUCUUUUAUCUCUAAAAUUAUGGUGGCUAAAGUUGAACUGAAACUCUGGGGGCGAAAUAUAUUGAGCUAAAUUGGAGUUAAAUAAGGCUUCAAUUAGUUCAAAUUAGUUUUAAUUUGCCCGGUAGCAGAACGUACUGUUAAUUGUUCAGUGAGAGCCUCGCACGGCAUCAGAAGUGAUAAUGUGGACAUGAGUAAAAAAUCAUAGGAUCACUCCCCCCCUGGUUUCCCAUAUUAGUUAUGGGGUUAAACAGCCCCUAAAAUCGCAGCCCCAAAGGUUGCGUUGAUGGGGGCCCUGAGUAAUAGACGCACAAAGUGCCAGGAAAGAAUUAUUCAAGCAUUAUUCAAGCCGGGGAACCGGCCAAAGGGCACUGUACUAAACUAACUAAAGUGGGGGAUAGUGAGGGGAUAAAUUUCCUUAAGGAACUCGGCAAAAUCCCAAUGGCCCACCAGGGCAUACUACCCACCCCCGCCUUAGGCGGGGGGUGGGCAGUAUUGGAACACGGGCCUCGACUGUUUACCAAAAACAUAGCCCUCGGCCAAUAUGAAAAUAGAUGUAUAGAGGGUGAGGCCUGCCCAAUGGUUGUAUCUAAAAGCGGUUGAUAAAAGUCGACCUCGUAAGGACAAUUGAAUGGCCGCGGUAACACUGACCGUGAUAAUGUAGCGUAAUCAAUAGCCAAUUAAUUGUUGGCCAGUAUGAAUGGCGCCACGAAGGCCCCACUGUCUUAAGGAAAUUCCCAGUGAAAUUGAAUUCGUAGUGAAGAUGCUACGUCCAAUUUGUUAGACGAAAAGACCCCGUUGAGCUUUACUGGGGCACUUACACGGCCCCGGCCUUCCAAACUAGGCUUACUAUGCCUAGAGGUCGGCCGAAUUUAAAUGGGUGGUUUAGAUUAUGUGGCAGCCCCCCGUCGGGGCAGAUGAAACCCCACUCCCCCAUGUCAAAGGGGCUAACCCCCCCCCUUGGGGGGGGACAGUGUAAGUAGGACAGUUUGGUUGGGGCGACCGCCUUUUAAAGAGUAACGAAGGUGCGCUUAAGGUGCGCAAAUAAUGACUGAAGCCUGACUGCGAGGGGGACACCCCGAGCAGACACCCCCAAGCCUGCCCUAAGGGCGGCGGUGGGGUGGGCCAUAGUGACCCGUUAAUUUAGAGUGGAAUAGUUAACGAUCAACGAAUAAAAGUUACCACGGGGAUAACAGCGUAAUAUCGUUAGAGAGUUCACAUCGACGACGAUGUUUGCGACCUCGAUGUUGAAUUGCGGCAUCCUGGGGUGCAGCCGCUCCCAAGGGUUGGUCUGUUCGUCCAUUAAAGCCGUACAUGAUUUGAGUUAAAAGCGUGGUAACACAGCUUGGUUUCUAUCUACAAAUUGAAGAAACAUCGAUAUAACUAUCUUCUAGUACGAAAGGACCGAAGGAUUAGUGAUCCUCUUAUUUUUUAUAAGUUACGAUCAACCCAUUGACCUCCAGGCACCGCCGCCCCCGAGGGGCGAGGGUUGCAAUAGGGGUCUUUCAGCUAAUCACUGACCGCUUCUAAAGUGGGAAAGUCAUAUCGAAAUGUUUGGGCCCAUUAUAGGGGGGCUAAACCUCACCAUCACGAGCUCGCUAUAGCGGCCUCCUAAGGAGGGGAUGGUGGCCAGCCCUCGGGCUGGGAUAAAUCAUUAUGGGGUUGGAGUAAAAAGAGUGACGAAUGGAGAACUAGGGUGCACUAAAGAGGACGGAGCCCCCCGAAAUGGCGGAGGAGAGACUUUGAAGCCCUAAUGUCCCGCGCGGCAACGCAGCGGGGGGGCCAGGGGAGCGAAACAUCCCAGUACCAGGCCCCCCACCCCCCCCUCCCCGCCCCAUAGUGGGUGUUUAGGGGGGGGCACAGAAAAAAUCAAACGAGAUUCCGCCAGUAGCGGCGAGCGAAAGCGGACGAGCCCUUUCCUGUAAGCGAGUAAUGAUGGGAAGAUGGGUGUCCACACAUCCAAGGCUUAAUAAUUAGUGUCACACCGAAAGAGAGGAGUACUGUAAAGGAAAGUUGAAAGAGACUUGAAAAGACCUUGAAAUGAGUCACUUAAAGCAGUUGUAACACAACGUACCUUUUGCAUAAUGGGUCCACGAGAUAAAAUUUGGCAAACUUAAAGUGCAAUCUCGCAGCCGCCCCGCGAGGGAUGGCUGGGGGGAUUGUUCUUGGCCCCCUAAGGUGUAGUGAAAGCAAGGUGCCGCUAUAGCGGCCCCCCUCAGUCAAAUUUCCCGAAACCAAGUGAUCUAGCCAUGGGCAGUUUUUAGGAACGAACCGGUGGUUGUUGCAAAAACCUCGGACGACCUGUGGUUAGGGGCGAAACGCCAAUCGAACUUGGAGAUAGCUGGUUUUCUGCGAAAACUAUUGAAGUAGUGCGUCCACAAUUCAAGGAAUAAUUAAGAUUAUCCGAUGAAAAUGGCUUGGAAUGCGGUAAAGCCCGACCCCCCGAAGCCGGGGGAUUAACUAUGAAGAAAAAAAGCCAGAGUGGGACAGACAGACUGUGGGCGAUAAGGUCGACGGUCAAAAGGGGAGAAGCCCUAACC
rnacentral:rRNA from 1 species